AUUGAACGCUGGCGGCAUGCCUUACACAUGCAAGUCGAACAGUAACGCGGGGCAACCUGGCGACGAGUGGCGAACGGGUGAGUAAUGCAUCGGAACGUGCCCAGUAGUGGGGGAUAGCCCGGCGAAAGCCGGAUUAAUACCGCAUACGACCUUCGGGUGAAAGCGGGGGACCGUAAGGCCUCGCGCUAUUGGAGCGGUCGAUGUCAGAUUAGGUUGUUGGUGGGGUAAAAGCCUACCAAGCCGACGAUCUGUAGCUGGUCUGAGAGGACGACCAGCCACACUGGGACUGAGACACGGCCCAGACUCCUACGGGAGGCAGCAGUGGGGAAUUUUGGACAACGGGGGCAACCCUGAUCCAGCCAUGCCGCGUGCGGGAAGAAGGCCUUCGGGUUGUAAACCGCUUUUGUCAGGGAAGAAACGCUCUGGGCUAAUACCCCGGGGUAAUGACGGUACCUGAAGAAUAAGCACCGGCUAACUACGUGCCAGCAGCCGCAGUAACAC
rnacentral:rRNA from 1 species